rnacentral:lncRNA from 1 species
UAUUCAGAUUUUCAACCCAGUCAUUGUUAUGCUAUUUUAACUGUUGAUGAGCAUAAAGAAAAAGCAAGUUUUUUAGUUCUUGUUAUGACUAAAAUGGUGCUAAGCCCCCCUUCAGUAGCUAUGUAUCAAAAUCUCUAAAAGAAGGACCUAAAAAGUUAUUACUCAAAUCGAAUGAUCAUUUAACAUGAAUAAAUCAAAGUAGAAAACAAUAAGUCAGUCUUGGAAUUUAACAUCCAUUUCUCAUUUUUAAAAAAAAGUAAGGAUAACAUUAACAUGUUAAAAAUAAUAGUCCUAAACCAAUAGCUAAUAACAUAAAUAUCAGAAGCUAGAACAAAGAUCCAUUACCACCACUUUUGUUCAUCGUUUUUCUUUGAGCACCAGUCAAUGAAGUCAAACCAGGGAAUAGAGUCAGAACCCCAAAAUAAGUAACUGAGGGAUUAUGUAAAUAUGUCCCCAUACCUAACUGUUAUAACAAAAUAAGGUCACAUUUCCUUUCAUACUCAAUUUAUGUCUUUGAGUCUUUCUCCCACCAACAACCACAAGCCCCUUCUACCAAUUUCACUUCCUCAAGUACUUUCCGGGACUCAGUCCCUGAUUAGUGCUUUCAGUUUGUUAAGUAUAUGUUGGCAGGAGCUUAACACCUGCUCUCCACUGCCAACUUCACCCCCAUUCCACAUUCUUUCCCAAUCCAGUAAGCCACUCCGCAUCCCCGGGCCCCUGGUGCUGCCUGCUAACAAGCUCCUCAAGGUCUGCCCACCAUGAACAUCAUAAUGUUAUGGUGCUGAGUCAUUUCAUUCAAUUGUCUCAAGCAUUUUCAUUGUAGAAAGAGAUCUUUGUUUUUAUUUUUUAAUAACUAAAAUUUACAUUGACUUUUUAAACUAAGAAUCUUUGCCUCCAAGAUAAAUUUUUUCUCUAUCUUGAGAACAACAGUAAACAACAUCAGGAAGUUUUAAAACUGCUUUCAGAUUAUCACGGUUCCAGAAAUAAUGUAUUUUGUAUUUCAGUCUUAAAGGAGCAUAUUCCCUUUGCAAGCCCUGGAGUUCAGUAAGCUGGAUUCUUAGCUAGUGUCUCCAUAAAGUGGACACGGAAAGGAAGAGAAUGUAGACACAUCAAAAGGACGCCUCGUCAGUUGAGAAACAAGGCAUUUUCAAGAAGCAGUAACAGAAGAUCAUGAGGAUGAACCAAUCCAGUAAAGACCCUUGUAUGUAGUUCUUAGUGGUUCAUUAGCGACCUUUAAGGAAGCAGUAUCAAUGGGAUAAUGAAUAAAGGGUAAAUAGGGGUUGCACUAUGAGUUACAUAAUUUGUUUUUCAAAAAUUGUUAAUAUAAUAAGUGUGUCAGUUAUUAAGUUCUCUUCUAUCUCCAAAUCCAAGCUUCUAAACUUUGCUUUGGGUUGCUAAAGCAGUCACUAGACAAGCCAUUUCUGCAUUGCUGGCUGAUGCCUUAAUAGGCUGUGCCAACAGGAGAGG